CAUGCAUACAUAUAUACAUUCAUACAUACAUACACUAACAAAAUACCCACACAUACAAGUAAACAAGCAAAACAAAAACCAGAUCUGAAUAAGACUUUCAAAAAUUUUAGUUCUUGAAUGUUUUCUCUGAAAAUUCUAUUUCAUAAAUACACUGACUCUAGGUUAAAAGGUGGCAAAAGAAUCAUGUCCUGCUUGCAUAGUCUCCAAGUCCAAGUUUAGUUAUGAUCCAGCUGUGUCUUCAGAGUUGCAAGAACGACAAACAGAACUGUUGGUGAAAUGAGCCAACCCCAAUUGUCACCCACACGCAUGAGUGAACACAAAACAAUGCCUGAGCUGCCUCUGCCCACAACAGCAAUGGUGGUGACAGAGCCACACGUGUGAAACAACCCUCAAUGCAGAAGUGACUCAAGCGGUAGUGUCUGCACUUUCUCCUGAAGAGGAAGUGACGGGGCUGCAGUGAGGUCAGAAGACAGAUGUGGUGCUGCCCAGUGCAGCCCCUUCUCAGGGAGUGGGCGAAGGAACCCCAUGGGCUGAAGCCGCUCAGCACAGGGCCCUGUGAGUUAUUGCUGUGACAAAAUGCUCAACAAAAGUCAGAAUGCACGACAGGUUUAUUUUGGCUCAGUUCAAGAGUGCUGAGUCCAUGGGGUGGCAGGAGCAUGGGGUGGCUGAUCACAGUGCAACCACGGUCAGGAAGCUGAGAGAGAGGGGGGCUGACGCUCAGCUCCCGAGAUGGUGCCGCCCACAUUUAGGCAGGGCAUUCUAUAGAAGGACGCAGAGCCGGAACCUGCAGCUGCCUCCUUUAGCAGGAAAGCCAGCUCCUGUUUUUCCUAAAGGCAGAUGUGACCAGAAGGUGCUUGUGAGGCCAGAAGAGGGCGUCGGACCCGCUGGAGCCAGAAUUACAGGUGGCCUGCGCGCUGCUGGAGGAGGGUGCUGGUGUAAAUACUGGUCUCCGGCUUCCAUCUCUGGAGGCCCCGCCCCUGUGCCCCUUGAACCUUGACCCCUCCCCAGGAAAGGUCAAGACUACUUCCCCAAGCUAUUUAAACUGCUCCCCCCAAAAUAAACACGUGGUUU